rnacentral:rRNA from 1 species
UACAGAGGGUGCAAGCGUUAAUCGGAAUUACUGGGCGUAAAGCGUGCGCAGGCGGUUGCGUAAGUCAGAUGUGAAAGCCCCGGGCUCAACCUGGGAAUUGCAUUUGAGACUGCGUAGCUAGGGUGCGGAAGAGGGAAGCGGAAUUUCCGGUGUAGCGGUGAAAUGCGUAGAUAUCGGAAGGAACACCAGUGGCGAAGGCGGCUUCCUGGUCCAGCACUGACGGUCAGGCACGAAAGCGUGGGGAGCAAACAGG